AGCAGCCACUGGCUGGAGUUCUAGCUGGGUCCUUUACAAAGUGGGGAGGGGAGCUGAACUGCUGCCUGGGUUGGAAGCAGAAGUGACAUUGGUGUCUUGCAACCCCUUUGUCGACAAUUCUGUUAAAUCUGUACACAAAUCUGGGAGACAUAGGCAGUGUCCCCAAAACCUUACAAAGGGGGAACACAGAGAUGAAGAGACAUGCCUAAAGUCACACUACCUUGGGGUACACAGCUGGUUUCACAAGCUGAUCUCUUGGCUAGAGUCUCCCUCCAUCUUCCCUUUCCUGCCACAAGGACAGUUUAAGUAAUUCUCAUAAUCUUAAAAGCAUCACUUAAAACACAAAACUUUAGCUCCCGACCACCCUACUCAUUUAAUCUUUAUCGUGACACGGUUUUGUUGACGCUCUCCACUGUUGAGGUAGUGGCCAUCACUAGGAGUUCAGGUUUGAAGGCUACACCUGAGCAGACAGCAGGAGGGGGCAGGCUUUAGGCCCUUCCCCCCACCACAGGCACCACCUAUCACCUGCUUCCUACCUCCCUCAGUCACCUGGAAUAGGAGCCAUGUGCCUCUUUCUCUUCCCUCUGGCUGUGAGGUGGGAACAGGAAACAGGUACCAUUUUAGUGACUUGUCUAGCAAAGUUGGAGAUGAAUGUAGCUUGGAAGAAAGCAAGGCGGCUUUCUGGAAAGCAGCUGCCAGCUGUGUGGGCAGCUAGCCCAGGACAGCCUCCACACUCAGCCUGUCCCACAGACUCUGUGGUGGACCUACUGCUCUGUCUUCUCCCAUAAAACUGCACACCCGAGGGGGUGAGAGAGCAACCCCUAGAUUUAUGCAGUGCUGGGGACCCGCAGAGCUCUGACGAUUAGGGAAGUACUCUGCGAACUGAACUUCAUGCUCAGCCCUUUAUCACAGAUGGGUCUCACUUUUCCCUGUCCCAGUACUAGGGACUGACCCAGGGCCUUGUGUGUGCUAGAUAAGUGCCCUAUCACCCAGUUUCAUCCCUAGUUCUUGGGAGGGAUUUAAAAAAUCUGUUAAAGUGGCUAUUUUCAAUCUGCUCUAUGGAUUCUAGGCAGGUAGGAUGAACUGGGGUUGCGAAGACACAUCUCAUUUUUCCUUUUUUUAGAUUAGGAUCUCACAUCUCACUAUGUAGCCCUGGCUGGGAACUUAACAUCUACCUGCCUCCAAUUAUUCCUGAGUGCUAGGGUUAAAGGUAUGUGCCACCAUGGCAAGCUUUGGAUUUCUUUUGUGACUGGGUCUCUGUAGCUUAGGUUGACCUGAUCUGGUGGUGAUCCUCCUGUAGUCACAGAUGUGAGCUGCUACCUCCACCUGGCAAUGCAUGCUUUUAAACAAGGUCGCUAGAGAGCUGCUCUUCAGAUUUAGAACAGGGGUUUAUCUAGCCUGUUCUGCUGAGUACCAACAGGUCUGUGACAACAGCGUCACACAGACACUCAGAAAAUACACAGGAGAGCCUUGCAGGAUAGGUGACAUGUUAUUGCCUAUGGAAGACUCAGCUUAGGUAGGACAGGACAGGCCGUAAAUACAGUGACUGCCUGCAUAGGGGGACAGGCCACUCCUACAUAGCCUUUCCAGGUUCCUUUCUUCCCCAGGGCCUAACCAGGGGAUUAGCUAUGCAGCUGGUGGGCUCAGGAAUGUCAGAAAAGGACUUAGGAGGCGCAGUUCUGACUGCCUUCACCACAGUGCAGAACCCUCCUAGUGCAGCCCAGGUGGGGCGGAAGCUAAGAAAUGGACUCAGAACCCUCCGGGCAGUCCUGUAACAGGAAACCAGAUGAAUCCAAUCAAUAACAUAGGCUUUGACAGUCCCAAGGACCGUGCCAAUCCUCCACAAUACAAUUUUGUUGUUUUUUGGGGGAAGAGGAGGUGCCUUAUUCUCCCAAUUGCCUGGCCCUGGACAAAGCCUAGCAAACACAUGACUCACUGACUUGCUAAUGACAUGGCUCCAGGGCAAGUAAAAAGACACAAUCAAAAGAGGUGCCCCAGGGAGACGAAACCAGCUUGGCAUAAUGCAGAUACCUGUCGGGCCAGUGGCUAGUUCAUUUAAUGUUCUUCCUUUGGGGCAGCAGUGUAGCUUGGUGGGAGAGCUUGGAAAUGUCCUUAAGAGCAAAGGAAAAUUUGAAACUAAAUACAGACAAAGCAUCGAACAUUUCCACCACCAUUUCAUUUUCUGCAGUUGCAAUGACUUUCCAGUGUCUUCCUUUCCUGGCAGACACUGAUUUUAAAAAACACCUGGAGUGGAGCAAUUACAACAAAACUAAGGUCUCUGCUUCCCAUACCCACAGAACUCUGUGCCACCUAAAUGCAGCCAGCUAAAGGUCCUACUGCCGGGUCCAGUAGAGAUGCCCAGGUCCUGUGGAAGCAGCAGAUUCCUUUAGAGGUUGGGGUUCCCUGGUCAGAGUAAGGGAUCUGGUUAUCAAGAGCCCACAGCAGGGAUGAGGGUCAGAGAUGAGACAGACUUGUAAACAGGCAACUGAUGUCCUGGAGUGACAGGUGAUGUUGGUAACGGGAAAAGCAUGGAAUCAAGAAGCUGCAUUCCAGCAAGGCAUGGUGGCACACACCUCUAAUCCCAGCACCCUGGAGGCAGAGGCAGGUAGAUCUUUGUGAAUUGCAGGCCAGAGGCCUGAGGCCAGUCUGGUCAUCCUCAUAGAGAGUUCCAGGACUAUCAGGUCAGGAUGACCUGCCACAAACAAACAAACAAACAAAAGCAACAACAAAAAACACCCAUCAAACAAAGCUUAAACAACAACAAUACAGACAAGCCCCUGCUGUGGUACCUUUAGGCCCAGCACUGAAAGGUGCAGGCAGCUACAACUUUUAAUGAGACAAUGCCAUCCAGGGCUCCACAGCAAGGCCUUAUCUCAACAAACAAACCAAAACCUUAUAUUCCAUAACAUGGAGGGGAAAUGUGUACAGGGGCUCAAGAUCUCAAAGGAGUGUGAGAAAGGGCAGGGCCAACUGGAGCUGUCAAUUUCCACUCAGGCACUUGAGGUGCCUGAAGAGUCUUCAAGAAAAGUGGGUGCGCUGCUGAGGCUGAUGUGAGGGAUCCUUUAGGGAGUGCCAGAUGGUCCCCACUUGUCUCCAGUUCUCUGUACACGCUAGUGGCUGAUCCCUGCCCUAUACUUGGAUGCUGAAGUGCUAUGGUCCUGUAAACCUCACUGGUCUCUGCAAGGACAUUUUGACUUUCUCUUUUCACUCUGGCCUGUACAAGUAGAUGCAUCAUGUCCAACUACACAUCUGGAGCAGGGGGCAAAAUACGCUACAGUAAAUUUAUUUACUUUGGAAAACUGGUCUGAUAGCUAUAUAUAAGAGCAAAAAUAAACGUUUUAAACUC
rnacentral:lncRNA from 1 species